rnacentral:tRNA from 1 species
GGUAGUGUGGCCGAGUGGUCUAAGGCGCUGGAUUAAGGCUCCAGUCUCUCAGGAGGCGUGUGUUGAAAUCCCACCACUGCCA